GGCUCGGGGCGCCUGUGGCUCCGGUGGCGCCGGGACGGCCGCUCGCGGAGCUUCGGAGACCUGUGGCUGAGGGGCAGCCGGCGUCGGCUUGGCCUCCGGCGUGGGCGAGCUUCCGCGUAGCAGGCGCCUCCCAGGCUGACUCGAGGGCGCCCCCGCUCUUUGAAUUUCUACGGCGGGAAUGCGUCGGGACUGAGCCCGAGUCUCCCGAGGCUGACUCGUGCCCCCGCCCCGCCCCGUUCAUCUGCGUGUCUGAAAACGUCGUGUUUGAACCACCCACGGCCAGGGCACCUGAGGCGGCUGUUCAAAAAUGUAGCUCCCCGGGCCCCGCCCCAGCGUGCCUCCCGGAGCCCCAGGCUCUUCUCCGGUUGCAGUCUGAAAAUAGCACACGGCGAGGCGCAAGGGGGACCCGAAAGAGGCUCUGUCCUGCAGGAAGUCUAAUUCCCGAGCCUUUGGUGGUAUUGGGACCUGGGCCAGAGGAGCUGACCUCAGCCAGACAGCACCCCGGGAUUGUGCUCGUUGAUACCAGAGGCUUACAGAGCAGAGACACAGCGGCCGUCAUCUCCUGGGCGCCCUGAGUCACAGCCCAGCAGGUUGACUGCGUUACUAAGCGUGAGCUAACCUGCUAUGUGGAGCAAACUCUGCGCCCAUGUAAUCCCAUACUCCAGUCAGCGGCUGGGUUUGCUCAUACGUUCUUGCUCAGAAUCUUUGCUCCAAGAAAAGAGGAGAAAUCAUAAAUCGGAACCACACUUUGGUUUCUCCAUUUGAACACCAUUUCGUGCGCUAGUUGGGAAAAGAAUAAAGAUUGAAGAAGUCCUACGGUGAUGCGAAUUGAAGGAAAUUUGGAUCCUGUGUUUGUAAGGUCGCUUUUCUUUCAAAGACGCUACCACGCUGCCCCUGUAGAAACAGCCAAGAGAAGAAGGGACCAUAUGUAUGGAUGGGGCUGGUACGAUCCAUGCUUCAACAGCAGUCCCUUCAACCUUGCUUGAAUGUGGAGGUUCGAUAGACCACCAGACUCCAGAGAUAAACUACCUUGGCUUGAAAGGAACGCUAUCAUCACUGAUAGCUGGCCACUAUGUUGUUCGCCAGCAUAUGAAAGCUACGCUGAAUUGUUUAACAACGUUGUGUUUCAACUGAUGAGUAGAAAACUUCACUGAACCAUGCACAAUAAUAGAGAUUGGACUGAUGGUUCGCAAAGACGAAAGAGAUGGACAGCACCGAGAUGCCAAUAAUUUUAAAUAUAAUCUUAAAAAAAAACUUCAUUCUUAAAGUGAGUGAGAACAGUAUACAUAAGGAAGAGGCAACUGCCCUGGUCAUUGUCACACCCGGAUGUGAUGACGGUACCUGCCGCGGGCAUCUUGCAAGCAGACAGGAGCCAGUUUGCAGACAAGACCAGCACAGCAAGAUGACAUGGCCGAAUGUGGACCCGAGUCCUUCGUGAUACUGUGGAGCUGAUCAAGUAACCCAGGAGUGUGCUUGCCGUGGGCGUCCUGGCAUCUAAGGUGCUGACACUACAGAAAGGGGAAAGGAAGCCCAACAGGGACUCAACAUAGACAAUGAUAUUAUUGAAAACAGAGCAACUACUGGAAGAAGGAAUUCUCAGUCAACAACAGAGAAAACCUGAAACAAAAGUUGAACUUAACGCUUAGUUCACAUUGUUAAAAACAAGACAACAGGACCAAAAUGGGAUCACUUAUGAUUCUGUGAAUUUCACCUGGUAUGGCAAAAGGGAUUUUGCAGAAGGAUUAAGAACCUUAAGAUGGGAGACCGUUCUGGUUGUUCUGAAUAGGCUGAUGUCAGCACAGCACUCCUUGUGUAGGAUGGUCAAAGGCGGAGUCCAAGCCAGAGGAGAAGGUGGCGGGAUGCAGGGAGCAGAAAAUGGAGCAUUGUGCUUUCCAGACAGAGGCAGGGGCCGCAGACAGAGGAAUACGGGAGCCACCAGAAGCUGAAAAAAGUCAAGGAAAUGGAUUCUCUUGUCAGCACCUCCAGAUAGAACCUGCCCUGACGAUGCCUUGAUGUUAGCUCCUUGUGAAAGUGAUUUCAGACUUCUGAAGUCCAGAACUGGCGGGGAACAAAUAUUCGUUGUUUUGAACCACUAAGUUUGUGAUAAUUUGUUACAGCCUCAAUAAGGAACUAACAGAUAGGUUUUGGGGGGAAAAAUCCCAUGAUGUGAUAGGUGAAACUCGGUAAUAAAAAUCUAAUUACGAGUGGUACAAAUGUGAAUUACCUGCUCAUGGGUCUCCUGUUCUGAUCCCAGUUCAACCCCUCCUCCGAAAAAUUUCAAUCCCGUCAGCAACGCAGGAGUCGCCACCUUCGCUUGACCGAGAUGGCAUUCUUUUCCUCUUGGGUCAAGGAAGAUCACUAGAACCCAAGAUGCGCAAGAAAUAAAGAAAUGGAUUGGUGGUAGACACAGAUGAGCACAGAGGGAAGGCUAUGUGAAGAUCCGCAGAGAAGACGGCCAUCAGCAAACCAGAGAGUCCCUAGAAGAAACCAGCACAGCUAACCCCUUGGUCUUGAACUUCCAGCCUCCAGAUCUGUGAGAAGAGAAAUUUCUGUUGUUUAAGCAGCAUCGAAAAAGAAAGUACCCUGGGUCCCUAAAGUACCUAGUUAGUGGUAUGUUUUAUGGCAGUCCUGGCAAAUGAAUAUAAGUAUCUAUUGAAAAUUAACGUUUAUUAAAUCAUGAAACAAUUACCAUUCCUCUGAAUAUCUCUGUACUACUUAUAUAAUGAUACAUUAAAGCAUAAGGAUUCAAGAAAUAUUUUUUCUGCUGCAAACUUAACAUUUCAACUUAUUAUUUUUUUUAAUGUUUAUUUGUUUAUUUUGACAAGGAGAGAGAGUGUGUGAAUAGACAAGGGGCAGAGCGAGAGGGAGAGAGCUACCAAGCAGGGGCUUGAACUCACAAACCGUGAGAUCCUGACCUGAGCCGAACUCAAGGGUGGGAUGCUUAACCGACUGAGCCACCCAGGCUGCCCCCUAACUUAACAUUUCAAACCAUUUAAAGUCACAAACACGAUGUGUUACAUUAACACCUUAAGAAGCAAAAAGAGGGGGCACCUGGGUGGCUCAGUCGGUUAAGCGACCGACUUCGGCUCAGGUCAGGAUCUUGCGGUCUGUGAGUUCGAGCCCCGCGUCGGGCUCUGUGCUGACUGCUCAGAGCCUGGAGCCUGUUUCAGAUUCUGUGUCUCCCUCUCUCUCUGACCCUCCCCCGUUCAUGCUCUGUCUCUCUCUGUCUCAAAAAUAAAUAAACGUUAAAAAAAAAAAUUAAAAAAAAA